UCGAACGAGCUUCCGUUGAAUGACGUGCUUGCACUGAUUUUAACAAUGAAGCGAGUGGCGAACUGGUGAGUAACACGUGGGAAAUCUGCCCAGAAGCAGGGGAUAACACUUGGAAACAGGUGCUAAUACCGUAUAACAACAAAAUCCGCAUGGAUUUUGUUUGAAAGGUGGCUUCGGCUAUCACUUCUGGAUGAUCCCGCGGCGUAUUAGUUAGUUGGUGAGGUAAAGGCCCACCAAGACGAUGAUACGUAGCCGACCUGAGAGGGUAAUCGGCCACAUUGGGACUGAGACACGGCCCAAACUCCUACGGGAGGCAGCAGUAGGGAAUCUUCCACAAUGGACGAAAGUCUGAUGGAGCAAUGCCGCGUGAGUGAAGAAGGGUUUCGGCUCGUAAAACUCUGUUGUUAAAGAAGAACACCUUUGAGAGUAACUGUUCAAGGGUUGACGGUAUUUAACCAGAAAGCCACGGCUAACUACGUGCCAGCAGCCGCGGUAAUACGUAGGUGGCAAGCGUUGUCCGGAUUUAUUGGGCGUAAAGCGAGCGCAGGCGGUUUUUUAAGUCUGAUGUGAAAGCCUUCGGCUUAACCGGAGAAGUGCAUCGGAAACUGGGAGACUUGAGUGCAGAAGAGGACAGUGGAACUCCAUGUGUAGCGGUGGAAUGCGUAGAUAUAUGGAAGAACACCAGUGGCGAAAGCGGCUGUCUAGUCUGUAACUGACGCUGACGCUCGAAAGCAUGGGUAGCGAACAGGAUUAGAUACCCUGGUAGUCCAUGCCGUAAACGAUGAGUGCUAAGUGUUGGAGGGUUUCCGCCCUUCAGUGCUGCAGCUAACGCAUUAAGCA
rnacentral:rRNA from 2 species